UACAGAGGUCUCAAGCGUUGUUCGGAUUCAUUGGGCGUAAAGGGCGCGUAGGCGGCGGGGUAAGUCGGGUGUGAAAUCUCAGAGCUCAACUCUGAAACUGCACUCGAUACUGCUCUGCUUGAGGACUGGAGAGGAGACUGGAAUUCACGGUGUAGCAGUGAAAUGCGUAGAUAUCGCGAGGAAGACCAAUGGCGAAGGCGAGUCCCUGGACAAACCCUGACACUGAGGCACGAAAGCCAAGGGAGCAAACAGG
rnacentral:rRNA from 1 species